rnacentral:rRNA from 1 species
CGGCGUGCUUAACACAUGCAAGUCGAACGAUGAAGGCGGGAGCUUGCUCCUGCUGGAUUAGUGGCGAACGGGUGAGUAACACGUGAGUAACCUGCCCUUGACUCUGGGAUAAGCGUUGGAAACGACGUCUAAUACCGGAUACGAGCUAGGACCGCGUGGUCACUAGCUGGAAAGAAUUUUGGUCAAGGAUGGACUCGCGGCCUAUCAGCUAGUUGGUGAGGUAAUGGCCCACCAAGGCGACGACGGGUAGCCGGCCUGAGAGGGUGACCGGCCACACUGGGACUGAGACACGGCCCAGACUCCUACGGGAGGCAGCAGUGGGGAAUAUUGCACAAUGGGCGCAAGCCUGAUGCAGCAACGCCGCGUGAGGGACGACGGCCUUCGGGUUGUAAACCUCUUUUAGCAGGGAAGAAGCGAAAGUGACGGUACCUGCAGAAAAAGCACCGGCUAACUACGUGCCAGCAGCCGCGGUAAUACGUAGGGUGCAAGCGUUGUCCGGAAUUAUUGGGCGUAAAGAGCUCGUAGGCGGUUUGUCGCGUCUGCUGUGAAAAUCCGAGGCUCAACCUCGGACCUGCAGUGGGUACGGGCAAACUAGAGUGCGGUAGGGGAGAUUGGAAUUCCUGGUGUAGCGGUGGAAUGCGCAGAUAUCAGGAGGAACACCAAUGGCGAAGGCAGAUCUCUGGGCCGUAACUGACGCUGAGGAGCGAAAGCGUGGGGAGCGAACAGGAUUAGAUACCCUGGUAGUCCACGCCGUAAACGGUGGGAACUAGAUGUGGGGUCC